GAGGGCAUAGCUCAAGUGGUAGAGCUCAUGCUUAGCAUGCACAAGGUCCUGGGUUCAAUCCCUAGUAUCUCCA
rnacentral:tRNA from 1 species